UCGCUUGCCAUGCAUGAGUUUCAACUUGGGCUUAGAUUAUUAGAUAGAAAACCCUCCCUCGCUUUCCAAGUUUCAAACCUAGAGGAAGAAAACUAACCCUCCAAUAAUUCAAAUUUAUUACACCACCACCACCACCGCCACCGCCACCUAGCUCCCGCCACCUCUUCCCACCACCUCUUCCCACCACCAAACCCAAACACACAUCUUUCCGUCUUUUUUGAAUUAAAACUUCACUUGUUGUUAUUAGUAUUACUACUAUAAUUAUUAUUAGUGCCUUUUACCUCUCCUCCCUCCUGCAACAAAAAAAACGCAACACCAUCCUUAACCAAACCCAAAAACCAAAAAAAAAAAAAAACACAACUUCAUCUCUGUUCUAAUAAUCAGUAACUAUGUCACAACUUACAACAGGAGGGACUGAUUUUAGCUUACCAGAUGAGAUCUUAGCAGUGAUACCAAUGGACCCAUAUGAUCAAUUGGAUCUAGCACGGAAGAUUACUUCCAUGGCAAUUGCAUCCCGCGUCUCCUAUUUGGAAUCCGAAACGGGUCGGAUGAAGCAGAGGAUGUUCGACAAGGAUCGGAUUAUUUUUGAGCUUCAAGAGAAAUUAGGUCACUUGCAACGUGUCUGCCAGGAAUCUGAGUCUAAAUUGCGUCACGCACUUCAUGAAAAUGUGAAACUUUCAAAGGAAAAGGAUUCAUUGGCAAUGACUGCAAAGAAACUUGGACGUGAUUUGGCAAAGUUGGAGAUGUUUAAGAGGCAACUGAUGCAGUCACUGAGUGACGAUAAUUCAUCGCAGCAAGCUGAAACUGUGGAUAUUGGCACCUGUGAUCAAUCAGUUCCUAGAGCCUAUUCCGAAAAAGAUGAGGCGAUGAAUGACAAUGUGGCCCACCAUAAUUUCAAUGGAUCUACAGAUAUGGGAAACACUGAUGAGGCUCCAAGGCAUGCUGGGCAAAGAUAUUCUAUCACUCCAUAUAUUACACCACAACUUACUCCAUCCGGAACCCCAAAAAUUAUUUCUACUAGUGCAUCUCCUAAAGGUUAUUCUGCUGCUGGAUCUCCUCAGAAAACCUCAGGUGCAACAUCUCCUACAAAGCCUCAAUAUGAUGGACGAGCUUCCCUUUCUUCAUGGUACCCAUCAAGCCAGCAAUCAUCAGCAGCAAAUUCUCCUCCCCGGGGAUGUCCAAUUCCAGGGCGUGCCCCACGUGUGGAUGGAAAGGAGUUCUUUCGUCAGGCCAGGAGUCGCCUAUCAUAUGAACAGUUCAGUGCAUUUCUGGCUAACAUCAAGAAACUAAAUGGUCAAGAGCAAACUCGAGAGGAAACUUUAAGGAAAGCAGAAGAGAUAUUUGGGACAGAUAACAAAGAUCUUUAUUUUUCAUUCCGAGGAUUGCUUAAUCGCAACAUACACUAGGCCUCAAGCUGUCAUGUAGCUAGCAAGGUUCUAGAUAGAAAUCAGGUCUUUGAAUGGUGUUGAUCUGAACAGUGACUCAAACUGAAUCUAUUUGGAAUGUCGGGGAUCAGAGUCGUUCCCAUCUUCUAUGAGGAUUGCUUUGGCAUAAAUUCUCCAGGGCAUAUGAUUUGUCGGAAAAUAAUUACCUGUUUAUUUUUAGCAACUAGAAUGGUUAGGCAUAUUCUGUGUAAAUAAUCGGAGUUUUUUGCAUGGCUGCCUUACCAGAAGUGCUUGCUGAAAUUACCUUCGCAAGAUUUUGAUUUAUUUACUUGCAUAUGAGAGGUAAUUUUCUUCA